AAAGUUAAUUUUAUGUUAAUUAAACUCAUCACCAUCAUGAGUGUGGGGGAAGGUGCCUGGCAAGUCUAAAAAUGGUUCAUAGUAAGCAAUCAGCAGGUUUACGGGACUUCUAAUUAAUUUUUAUCAAUCAUGUGUGCCUAGUAUAGAGCAACCAGAGUUUAGAAUGACUGAAUCACUCAAUAAGUGCUUGUAACUCUUCGUCUGAUAAGACAGAAAGCAACAUCUUGACAUAAUAAAAUUAAACAGGAAAACAUUAUCAAACCUAGUGUCACUCCCGACUCCCCUUGGGAGAUUUUUUGUCGGUCACGUGAUGUGACCAUUGGACUUUAAGUCGCCAUGUGUUCAAGAAAGCGAGUGUUUUGAAUCGCAGGAGUUUGUCAAAGUUGUUAUUGUGCCGUUCGUUUAGCUCGAAGCAAACAGUUCGGUAAGUUAACCUUUCGCCUUUGCUAUUCAAAGAAGCAUUUGGAACUUAAUACCUUUUUGUAAUUUUCAGAAAACCUCACUCUUACGUAUACAUUCACACACGUAUGCCUGUGAUGGAAGCGAAGAGUUUUAUUCAAGUUGUUGUGACUUUGUUCAUCGACCGAGGCCGUGCGGUCGAUGUGUGCCUUUUGAGCUUGAGCCCAUUGUGAACUGUGAGUUUUCGACGUUUGUUUUGAGAGGAAAUAAAGACAGGCACUACGGCUUGAAACAAGCCUUGGCAACAAUAAAUGACUACAACCCACUCAUGAAGUAUUCCCAUUGGAUGACCUUCUGGCUGCAACAGAACUGGACAAGAUCCGUGCUGCACUGAGUGCUACUUUCACUCAUUUGAAAAAGAUCCGUAGCACUAAGUAUCCAAAUCCAAAGAGCUUUGCAACUUGUUGAUAAUGCAACUUGUUGAUAAUGAAGCCAUCUCGAGGGACUUGAACUCACAGCUGUUUAAAAAGGUUUUGGGAACAAGAAGAUUGAUGCACAUCAACCAUGAAGAAUUUGAAAAGAUCAUGAGUCACUUGCUUUGAAGUGUUCACAAGGUGGGAUGAUGAGUAUGAAAAGCUUCAAACCUUGUUACAAUCAGACAUUGUGAAGAAGAAAAGAGAAGAAAGCCUGAAGAUGGUGUGGAGAGUGAACCCAGCUCACAAACGACUUCAGGCCAGACUUGACCAGAUGAGAAAAUAUUGCAGAUUUUGCCGCCAACAUGAGCAGCUGCGAGCUGUCAUUGUCUGUGUACUCCAGCCCCAUGUCAGCCGUUAGCCAAGCUUCUCCCCCCAGUCCAGGUAGUCCUCCCAAGACAGCUGAGGAUGAGGAGGCAAAGCCAGGAGCUCUGCUUGAUCCUGCUGAUGCUAACGCCAUACAGGAAGUCAACCUUGCUUAUGAGAAUGUCAAGGAGGUUGAUGGACUUGAUGUGUCAAAAGAUGGGUCUGAGGCAUGGGAGGCAGCCAUCAAGAGGAAUGAAAUCAUACCCAAGUUGAGGGAGUAUAACAUAUUCUUUGGGGAAGAAAAGCUCUCCAGUUAACUAGCAAGGAGGUUGGAGGCAGGCUUAUUCUUGAAGGCAUUCUCAAGAUAUACUGGGGAUUAAAGGUGCCUGUUACACUAGCAAGCCACAACCUUUCCAAUUGGCAUAGACGGUCUCAAAACGACCCGAAUGGUUAUGCGAGAGUUUUAGCUGCUAAGAAAAAAGAUGGCAUUGUGAGUAUAUUUGGAUGAAAACGUUAGAGCCAACAGCUUGUCUAGCAGUGCUGGUGCUUCAAACGUGAUUUUCUUUAGCAUGAAGUGUCUAGCCAG